GAUGAACGCUGGCGGCGUGCCUAAUACAUGCAAGUCGAGCGAAUGGAUUAAGAGCUUGCUCUUAUGAAGUUAGCGGCGGACGGGUGAGUAACACGUGGGUAACCUGCCCAUAAGACUGGGAUAACUCCGGGAAACCGGGGCUAAUACCGGAUAACAUUUUGAACCGCAUGGUUCGAAAUUGAAAGGCGGCUUCGGCUGUCACUUAUGGAUGGACCCGCGUCGCAUUAGCUAGUUGGUGAGGUAACGGCUCACCAAGGCAACGAUGCGUAGCCGACCUGAGAGGGUGAUCGGCUACACUGGGACGGAGACCCGGCCCAGACUCCUACGGGAGGCAGCAGUAGGGAAUCUUCCGCAAUGGACGAAGGUCUGACGGAGCAACGCCGCGUGAGUGAUGAAGGCUUUCGGGUCGUAAAACUCUGUUGUUAGGGAAGAACAAGUGCUAGUUGAAUAAGCUGGCACCUUGACGGUACCUAACCAGAAAGCCACGGCUAACUACGUGCCAGCAGCCGCGGUAA
rnacentral:rRNA from 1 species